CCGCCGCUCAGGGACACACCUCGCGGCGGAGCUGCCGCCCGGAGCGGCCCCGGUACCUGCCCGGCCGCCCGGGAGCGGCCGUGCCGAGCGGCGGGGGCGGGCACGGGGAGCCGCGCCGAUGGGCGGCCGGCAGGGCGCGGGGAGACUGCGCCCUCACCUCCCGGCACAUCGCUUUAAUAGCUCCGGGGCUCAUCAGUUGGAAGGCAGGAGCUGGCACCAAACCCAACUCAGUCCUGCCAUAAAUUAGAAACUUGGGUUCUCCCCACGCACCAACAAAGGUUUUCGUCAGAAAUGCAUUUUCAAUUUGUUCUAGUACUUUAGGAUGAACUCCCCAGAAAAGAGAUUGUCUUUUUGUUACCAAUAUGUUGCAAGCCAUGCUUUACUGUCCCUCGUCUAUCCGUCCAUCCGUAGUUCCGCGGGACACUUCCACUGUUAGCUGUAACCUAGAGCUGUGGGGUCAGAGCUCAGAGGUGCUUUUAGGCUAUCUACUGCCACUGCUUUAAAGCCACCCUUAUCUGUACUGCUCUGUCCAAGUGUGACAAAUAGCUCCACUAACACCAUGUUUAUACAUUUUUCAAGAAAACUUCAGUGGCAUCAUUUGUUUCGGAAAAAGAACUCAUCUAGUUUUAUUUUGUUAUUUAGGUAUAUCUAAGGCAGACUUGGUGUCUCCACAAUAAUUUCUGCAAAUAUAACUAAUGUAAACAAUGUAUUCAUAUCACAUAGAGUUGAAGUAAAGUAGGUGAAAACAGAAGAGCCAGCCUCAUUCAAAGCAACUGUCCCUAGGCUGGUAUCUUCUUCUGACAAUGGCCAAUAGUAGAGAUACAUGUAAGAGGUAUAAAAACAUAUAAACCACCAUUAUGUGGCCUUUUCUUUCCGUUUUCAGCUCCUGGGUGCACAGGAAAAGCUCUCAGGUGAAAUCUGUAUCCACUGCAACCCUAACAGCCGCAAAUGUACCACUUCUCUAUGUUAAAUAGCUUUUUGAGCUGUUGGUACACCUGGCCUCCAGGAGUGGUGGGAAGGUCUCAAAUUUGCACAAAGACUAGACAGGAAUUUUUUUCUCACUAGUUUUAAAACCAGUGCUUAAUAAUUUUACAGGGUACUUGAAUUUUUGUCAUCUAAGAAAUAGUGAAUGAUCAUGCCCUAUUUAUUUAUACCAUACCAGUUUAUAGACCUCAUAUUAUUUCAUCCUUUUUCCUGAACUAUGGAGCUUUGGUCUUUUACUUGUUUCCAAACCCCUUUGAGCUAGCAUUGCUCAAAGGAGCACUCCUUCCAGUCCCUGUUGCUUUUUUCUGUCCUUUGGCCACAUGCAUUUCUUGUGCUAGCAUGCUGCAAACUCUAUCAGAAUAAUCCAACAAAAAUGAUUAAUUUUGUUUCAGAUAGCUCCCCCACUGAGCUGCUGAACAGCUGCACAAACACCAAAAGGGAGAGGCUUUCAGGGGUGACAGCGACUAGCUGCAGGCAAAGAAGCUUGGGCCUAAGCAAAACUGGUCAAAACGGUUUGUGAAGCUACAGCUGAAGGCAGAGGUUUCCUAGGACUGGCUGCCACUUUUCUCCCUCUGUCAUGUAUCUCCCUGUCUACAUCCACAGAUGUGGCUGUGCCCUUUCAGCUCAGUCACCUGGCAGGAAACUCCUCCUUUUUUUAGUGUGUGUGUCUUCUACCAGGUUACUGUGUGAACCAGAUCAGUGACAGCAUGAAGAAGUGUGGAGUGGGAUUGCAGCAGUAAAUCCAUAGUCUGCUCUGAGAUUGCAGCCUGAGCCCCUCAAACAGAAGCCAUUCCCCACCUUUUCAUCCUGCCCUGUAUGUUUUCUAUUUAUACUUCUUUUCAGACAAGGUUGACAAAACUACAUACAAUAUUCAAGAUAUAUUAUAGCAACAGUGUCCUGCUUCUUUCUAGCUUCUGUUUUUUUCUUACUAUUUUCAAACAUUGCAUAGGUCACUUCUUGACCUGUUCUCUCCAAAGAGCCAUGAACAAGAUGUCUGAGAUCUCUUUCCUGAGUGGAAAACACUUUCCAGAAUGCUGAUUUACCAGUGAAUACAGAAGGUGAAUGAGAUUUCCUUUCAUUAGAGGCUAAAAUGGAGGAUGAAAAUGGCUUUAGGCACUAGCAAAGCCAAAUUGCUCAUCUGGACAGUGGCACUCCCUCUGCAGCAAGCAAGAACAACGAGCAAACUCCUGGGCAGAACAGGCCACUGCCAUCCAUGGCUGAACUCUCAGACUAAAAAGCACCGACCAACAGCACAGACCUCCAGCCAGAGCCUACAGGACAUCAUGGCUCCUGGUUUGUUUUAUACCUCUGCAGGACAUCAAAGGGUUGAGGUGGGGAUAUUUUCUGUGCAACCUGAGUCAGCACUAAGCACCUUGAGGCAGGGAGCCCAAUGGGGCUGUUGCACUUAUGACAAGAUGUUAUGGAGAAGAUCUUCAAUAACUGACUCUGCUUUUUACUUCUUACUCCCUUUCAAAAAAUAUCUUUUCUUUUUCCAUUUUUGAAAUGACCUCUGUAUGUCUGGGUUACAAGCAUUAGAUUGUGGACUUAACUACAUUGUGGAGGAAGUCCAGUUCCUUUUAUCUUGCUCCUGCUUUCACAGGUCUGUUAUCCAAUUGAGGAUAUUAAAUUCAGUUCUAAUAGAUUUCUUGCUUGAUGAUUAAGCACCUGUUGUACCAUCACUAAAUGUCUCUCUAGUGUCUUCUUAUGUCGUCAUUUGGCAAAAGAGUUUUGUAGAGGUUGAAAGAUACCGUGAUUUCACCACAUGAGACAAGGCAAAGAAGGGAGCUCACAAACUGGAGCUACUGUGGGCAGACAGACUAUAGAAUGACUCUAGAAUGCCCCUGACAGGUAAUCUAUAUCAAAAAAGUAGAAUCCCAAAUAUCCUACUGUCUUCACACACACAAACAUGAAUCUUGUUUGUAUGAAAAAAUCACACAAAAAUUCCUUACUGAAACAGUGUAAUUUUGAAGACCUGAGGAUUUGUAAUUUUGUUUCACCCAAAGAUGAAAAAGCUCCUGUAGCAGUGUGUGUAGCUUGCUCAGGUGGACCUCAGUUAAUUACACAAAGUAUGGAUUCCCACACUAAAAAUUUAAGAUUUCUUUUUGUCAUCAUCAGGAAUUGAACACAGACUUCAAGACGAGAACAUUCCAUGGUACCAAUGCAGUCCCUGCUGCUUGGGAAACCCAUUUGGUAGAUCCAUCCAGACCUUCUCCUAAUGUGCCAGUGCCGCAAAUGAGCUGGGGCUUUUUGCACAUCCUGCACCUUCACUUUUAAAACCAGAGUUUUAAACACAUUAGCUUCAUUUAAUGCCUGGCUGUUAAGUGAGUCAAAGUAAAUUAAAAUUGUAAAGUAUUUAUGAUGAUGAGAAGUGAAAUUUGGAAGGUAACAAAAAUAGGACGUGAGCCUUCUGAGAACAUUUCCAGGCAUUCAGUGUAAUGCUGGAUAGUCUUGCAGCUCCACUGAAAGUUGUUACUGAUGCAUAUGUGAAACCUUAUUCCAAGACACACACUGAUGCAGAAUGAAAGUGGUGAUGAAAAAGAAGGUCAGAAGGAUGAGAAACUGCAACUAAAAGCAAUUAGAAGCCAUGCUUCGAUUCAGGCUAUUUUCAGAUUCAGGGAUAAAUACAAAAAUCUACUGUCUCCUCUUCCAAAUAUAAGUCCUUCAUGGAGCCACACAAACAUAUGCCUUUGUUUAGAUCAGGCCAAUAUUUUUGUAUGAGAAAGUGAAAUUUCAUCCAGAAUUCUUUAAUAAUGUCAGUGGCAUAAAAUUUCUUUUCUCUGGUGUAUUCAAGUUAAACAUUUUCUAAUAAAAACAAUCACAGAAAGGGUGCCCUUAUACUGAACAAUUCUUUUGAGUGAUUAGCAUAUGUUAAAUAAAGAAGAAAAGGAUUAAUUUUCAAAAUGUGCUUAAUUCUAGUGAUGAUGAAAUGGAUGAAAAGAAUAAGUAAAUGUAGAUUAGAGAGAGAAUCAGAGACUUGGGUAAAAAGUGGAACUGAAUGCAGGGAGAGAAAUAUAGAAGAAAGGUUGUUCAUCUUUCACACAUGUCAUUUACUCAAAAAGAAAUUGCAUAAAAGACUUUCCAAUUAAUGUCUCGCUUCAAUAAGGGAUCCAAACCCUAUUUUCUGACAGUGAUACAUUAUGCUGGAGGGAAAAGGAGAAAAGCUUCUUUUCUCCAGGUGCUAGUCAUGCCCAUGUCCAUAUGCUGAACUGAAUAACCAGAGGAAUAGCCUUUGCAAGGGACCAAUUCUCUUCAGGGCCAUCAGCUUUUCUACUGGGUGCUCCACAGUUGAAACAACUGAGUCUUGCUUUGAAGCAUUGCGCCAACAUGGACACUUAUGUUUCUUCUCUUUUCUCUGAUGUCCUCAGCCCUGUGGAAAUGUGCUGAGCUAAAACAAGGGGCACCCUGAUGAUGAAGAAAUUAUCAUGAGCUGCGCGAUUGUCAGAAAAAAGUUGAGAGAAAACGCAGUGUCAGCAGAUAGAGCCCAGUUCUGACUCAUGCUGACAAGAGUUCAACAAGCCUGAAUCCCAAACCAGAUUCAGAGUAGGAAUGAACUUUUGAGUGAUGUAAGGAAUUUCAUAAUCAUUGCUGGUGGACAGGACUUUUUGUUUUAUUUAGGGCAUUGGUAUAGGAAUAUACCAUGAGGUCAUCAUGACUUCUAUUCCUAUGCAUUCUGCACAUGCUUGUGUCCUAGGGGAUUUUUAGUUGCUUGAAUAGAGCCUGAAAUAAAUGUAAAUAAAUUAAAGUGUGGCAUGAGGAGAAAAAUAUCGCAGAAAAACAAUAAGAACAAAUAUAAGUCCAUACAAUGUGUUCUACCCUACAAAACCUCACUGGGAAUAAUAUAAACACCAAGAUGACAAGUGGAGUUGCUGAGACAUUACUUGAGUUGGAGCUGUCUCUCAAAGGCAGGAGGGAGAGUACUGAUAUUCAUUGCUGCCUGUGGAAAGGGCUUCUCAGCAGAAGACCAUAAUGUUUCUUUAUUCUCAUUUAACUCAAAGCAAUAAAAAAAUCCCAGCUGUAUAACACAAUAUAAGGGGACAGUGAGAGACAAAACCAGUUUUUUAACAAGAUGUAGCUCUUGCCAAUGCUCCAAGCUCUUAGAGGGAACUCUGCUCUGAAGCAGCCUCUAUGGAUGAGUCUGGGCUUGGAAGGAGGGAGAAGAGCUGUCACUGCAGAGCAGCUCUCAAACCCUGAUCCCUGGGGCAAGCUGCUGGUGGUUGGGAAGAGUUGCCUGGUAACAAGGAGCUGCUGCCUUCUCAUUUCCAGCUGUUAAACUGCAUUGGAAGGAGCUGAAUAAUACCAGAAUAGAAACCUAGCUUAUAAUUUGUGGUUUAAUGCAAUGGAAUAGGAGUAAUGUUAUGGCAUCUCUAAAUUGUUUAGGACACGAGUCUUUGCAGUAGCGUUCUAGUAGGUCCAUGUUGCAAAAUGGAAACAAGUUUCUGUAACCUUUUGUUGAUCAGCUUCUUGUUCCAACAGGAUUUGUCAGUGGAGUGCUGGUGGUGUAACAUCUGGUGUGUGUAAAGAAUGGGGAAAAGGUAAUGGGGAUUUUAACAGAGCAGCACAAGAAACAGACAUAACCAAGAAAAAAAAAAUUCAUUUUCUGGAAAGUGUAUGCAAAUAUAUGUAUUAAAAUAUCAACAUUUAUAUUUCAUAAUUGAAUGAAAAAUGCAAAAUCUGAUGUGCUGAUUUCUCCAUCCAAAUGGAAAUGUGUACAUUUACCUACUGGUGGUAAUAAUAACAAUAAUAAUAAUAA